rnacentral:rRNA from 1 species
UACGGAGGGUGCGAGCGUUGUCCGGAAUCAUUGGGCGUAAAGGGCGCGUAGGUGGCCCGGUCAGUUCGUGGUGAAAGCGCGGGGCUCAACCCUGCGUCGGCCAUGAAUACUGCCGCGGCCUGGAGCACUGUAGAGGCAGGCGGAAUUCCGGGGUGUAGCGGUGGAAUGCGUAGAGAUCCGGAAGAACACCGGUGGCGAAGGCGGCCUGCUGGGCGAGUUAGCUGACACUGAGGCGCGACAGCGUGGGGAGCAAACAGGAUUAGAACCCUGAGAG